GUGCCAGCCGCCGCGGUAAUACCGGCAGCCCAAGUGAUGGCCGCUGUUAUUGGGCCUAAAGCGUCCGUAGCUGGCCUCGCAAGUCCGUCGGGAAAUCCAUCAGCCCAACUGAUGGGCGUCCGGCGGAAACUACAAGGCUUGGGACCGGAAGGCUCGAGGGGUACGUCCGGGGUAGGAGUGAAAUCCCGUAAUCCCGCACGGACCACCGAUGGCGAAAGCACUUCGAGAAAACGGAUCCGACAGUGAGGGACGAAAGCCGGGGUCUCCAACCGGAUUAGAAACCCGGGUAGACC
rnacentral:rRNA from 1 species